rnacentral:rRNA from 1 species
AUUGAACGCUGGCGGCAGGCCUAACACAUGCAAGUCGAGCGAGCGGCGGACGGGUGAGUAAUGUAUGGGAAUCUGCCUGAUGGGGGGGGAUCACUACUGGAAACGGUAGCUAAUACCGCAUACCAUCAGAUGUGCCCAUAUGGGAUUAGCUUGUAGGUGGGGUAAUGGCUCACCUAGGCGACGAUCCCUAGCUGGUCUGAGAGGAUGAUCAGCCACACUGGAACUGAGACACGGCCCAGACUCCUACGGGAGGCAGAAGUGGGGAAUAUUGCACAAUGGGCGCAAGCCUGAUGCAGCCAUGCCGCGUGUAUGAAGAAGGCCUUCGGGUUGUAAAGUACUUUCAGUGGGGAGGCGUUACCGGCAGAAGAAGCACCGGCUAACUCCGUGCCAGCAGCCGCGGUAAUAC